ACCUCAACAGUUAUGAUUUCUAGGCUUAUUGUGGGCAACGGGGAAGAAGAAGCCGUUUGAAUCAUAGCUAACUCCAUCACCUAUUAAAGUCCAGAACCUGUUGAAUGAAAAAGGGAGGGAGCAGCCUUUUCAACGAUAGUUUCGUCUAUUGUUAUUGUUGCCUUUGUGGAAGUCUCCUCCAGCGCCCCAUUUAUCGCCUCUUCCUCAUUUUCAUAUUCUUCUUGGAAACCUUUCGGCUCCAGUUUCCUCUUCUUGUGGUAGGAACUGAAGUACCCAGCGUUUUGUUUCGGACGUCCUCUUUUUUAGGGAGCGGCUGGAAGGUGAAGAUAAGACCAUGGGUGGGAUGAAUUCUAAAAAUAGUUAAUGGUCUUCAGUAGUUUCGUCAUGUUCAACGACAAAAGUAGGAUCAUCGCCUGGAGAAUCCUCAUUGAUUGCGAAACCUUCAUUCAAUGCUGUGAUAACAUUGUCGUUGGAAACCGGUUUGUUUUGCACCAACGUGACCGGCUUAUUCUCCUUGAUUAAGGUGUGAAUAUCCUCAAGAAGUUGCAUCUUCUCUUGAAAAUCAUGUGCAGCUAACACGCUUAGUGUGUCAGCUAAUUUCCGAAAAAAAGUUGUUGCCAUCAUAAACUGGUCUUUCUCAGUUUUUGGUUUGCGGCUCUUUUUCCUUUUAUGCACUCCAAUCGGAGAUGACCUAUUCGCAAUAACAGUUGCAUCGUCCUGGCAUUCGUUUCGCCAGUGUUCUGCAAAAGAUCCUGUCGGAAUUUCGGUGUUCUCUUGGAUAUCAAAACUUAUUAUAUGGCGGCAAGGCAGCUCAAACGCCAUGAAGAAGUCACAAGUACAGGCCGUCAAAUCACUUUUCAAGCGGACGAAAUCAUAGGAUUUCUUUUUCAUAAUUUUGAUCUCUUCCUCCAUUUUGCUCCACGCAUAAGGCGAAAUGGAUUCUGCGAACUUCUUAAGCAAUGGAUGCUUUGAUUUAGUGGCAAAUCGAAGUUCCCUGAUGUUUUGCUUCAACUUGCGAUCGCUUAGACGAAGCAUUGCGAUGUUAACCAGAUUUUUAAGCACUUCCGCCAAUCGCUGGGUCUUCUGAAGAACGUCUUUGAUGGCGAUUAGUUGUAUUAUUACCGAAUGUUGGUAAAUGUCGGCGGCCGAGAUGCGUCCACUUUGUUUCUAUAUUGAACCAAUGGUCUCGGAAAUAUGUAGCAGUACUUCCUGUUCCUCCAUCUGUUAGGUAAA